rnacentral:misc_RNA from 1 species
AAACAAACGCUGAGAGCGCGUGCUACCCGCCCACAGCGGGGAGCUCGACCUCUCGACUGGGUGCCCGUCCCGCCUGGCGGCAGGACCGGCCCUGAAACACAUUGGCCAGGAUCGAGCCCGCAGCCUCCACGAGCAGUAGAUGCCGCUCUGGGGGGGCAUAGGGUCGCCCUGCACCAGGAAGCCCGCCCUUUAGUUUGACCUCGGAUCAGGUAGGGAUACCCGCUGAACUUAAGCAUAUCAAUAAGCGGAGGAAAAGAAACCAACAGGGAUUGCCCUAGUAACGGCGAGUGAAGCGGCAAGAGCUCAAAUUUGAAAUCUGGGCCCCUAACCAGGCCCCGAGUUGUAAUUUGUAGAUUGUGCUUUGGCGUAUGCGUCGGGCUAAGUGCUUUGGAACAAGGCGUCGGAGAGGGUGAGAACCCCGUACGCGCCCGCUAGCAGCCGCCAUGUAAAGCACCUUCGACGAGUCGAGUUGUUUGGGAAUGCAGCUCUAAAUGGGAGGUAAAUUUCUUCUAAAGCUAAAUACCGGCCAGAGACCGAUAGCGCACAAGUAGAGUGAUCGAAAGAUGAAAAGCACUUUGGAAAGAGAGUCAAACAGCACGUGAAAUUGUUGAAAGGGAA